GUAAAUUCAUUUUAAUCAUUUCCACACAUUCAUGAAAAGUAAAGGGGAAAAAUGGGCAUAGAGGUAACCACUAGAAUUAGGCUUUCUUGGAUGGGUAGACCAGGUGUGGAGGUGUGCAGAUAAGAUUUUACAAACACUCAUACACUCCCAUCUCCAAAAUCAUAAUUUAUCUUACAUUCUGCUACUAAUAAACAUUCCACUGGUUUUAAACAUUCACUUUGCUGGGUCUCCUCUUUAAAAUUUGUCAUUCACUGUUCUCAAUGUUAGAGACGGUAUGCAAACAGUAGGUUUAGGAAUAGAGUCAGGAGAUGGGGGAAGAAAAACUGGUAGGAGAGAACUUAAGUGUCUCACAGUGUUAAAUGUGACUUGAUAGCCACUAUUCAUUUUUUUUUGUAGUUUGCUGUGAGGAUGACUUUAUACAAUUUAAUCUUAAAUAGGAACCUAACUUAGUUAGGCUUCCUUGGGUAGUCUGUGGAGCAUGGAAAAGUUAUUAGCAUGUCAAAAUCCUGUCCACGCACACAUACACGCACAUACACACAAAUGUAGUUUGGUUACAUAAUAAAUUUAUAUUCAAACUUAAUGAAAACAACCAAUAGGAAAAAGCUUCUCAAUUCCAAAAGUGAAAGAGUAAUUUUACAAUACCAUUUUCCAUUUUCCUUUUCAUGAUAAAUCUAUGCAUUUUCUCAGGAUUUAUUCCACCAAACGACUUCGUAUUUCUCAUGAAACAUCUACCUUUAUUCAUCUCAGCAUUUAUUUAUGUAAUAAACAUUUCUUUUGAUGUGCUUUUAUUUUUACAAAGAUGCCACCUAGUGGCUUGAUAAAAUCAAGCAUUUCAAAGUAUCUCCUGUUGUUACUACAGGUUAAAAUGAAUAAUGAAUAUUUUUAAUAUUAAAAUAAUUUAGAAAACUAAGGACCUGAAAAUUUUUGUUUUGGAAAUUAUUUAGAUUAAAUUUGGAUCAUAAUACCACUUUGUGAACUUGUUAAGAGAAUGGAAAUAUAGGUCUAUUGUCCCUUUUCUGAAACCUUUUAAGACAGAUGUGUUUGAUAUUCACAAUUUUUCAGAUUUUUGAAAGGAAAUAUGGGCAUAUACUUUACAUUAUGUAACACAUUAAGAGGGUCUGAGGAAGCAGUUUAGAAUCAAAUAUAUUGAUACAUCUGUGGCAAAAUAUAUUCAUAUUCACAUUGAAGUGCGAUAAAUACCACAAAUAGCCUCAUGUAAUUCAGGUGGGGUUUGUUGCCAAAUGAGUUAUGAAAAAACUUUGUUUUCAGAGAUUUUUGAAAUUAGGAAUUUAGAUAAGGGACUUUGGACCUGUUUUACUCUGGUGAAAAAUAAUUCACCCUCCAGUUAUAGAGAGAUUAAAAUGCCAAUAUUUUGUAAAAAAAAAAAAAUAGUUAUCUUUAGAAAACCUAAUAGAUUCACCUAAAAAAAAAUUGAAGAUCAUGAGAAAUACCAAAAUAGAAAUCUUUGCAAUGCUUUUCAUUUAAUUAUAUACAGAUGCCAAUCAUAAAUUACAUUUAAGUGUACCACAAAAAAUUAGCUGCUAAUGUAAACCUAAAGACCAAUUUGAAAAUUAUUAGUGAUGCAUGGCAAGUUCAAUUCAUAAAUUUUGUGGCACAGUCAAAAAAAAAUUUAACCUUGGUUGUUUCUUUUUUUUUAUUCCUAUGUGUAAUUUACCAUGUUCCAAUUCCCCACCACCACUAUGGUCAUGGAAAUAUAUGUUGAUGGUGCCACACUCAGCCUGGAUUCCUUGUGGGUCUAUGAGC
rnacentral:lncRNA from 1 species